GUGAUGUAGUAUGCAGUAUUACAGUAAAAGUACUGCAGUAUUAUGAGUGAUGUAGUAUGCAGUAUUACAGUAAAAGUACUGCAGUAUUAUAGUGAUGUAGUAUGCAGUAUUACAGUAAAAUAUUGCAGGAAGGAGAGUGGGCCGGAUUGGACUCCUCGGCGGGCCGGUUCUGGUCCGCGGGCCGCAUGUUUGACCCUUCUGCCGUAUAGGUUAAAUAUCUCUCUAACGACGCUACGCUUUUUGGAUUGAGCCACUUGGCGCUCCGUACUGAGGAAGCGGUGAUGUAAACACAAGGUUUUAUAACAUGUUUUAGUUCUACAGGUUUGUUUCAUAAUGAAGUUACACAAGCUGCGUGUGAUCAGCUGAGAGGAAGAUGAUGAAGGCUCAGGUGCGGUGUGCAGUGACUGAGGCUCUGUGGGCCAUGUGUGCAGCUGACUCUGUCUCCAUGCCGGCUCACUGGUAUUACAACACUGAUGACAUCAUGAGAGACUUCAGAGGCUGGAUCAGAGGCUUCAACCCCCCCCCGAAUAUUCACCCUACAAGCAUCCUCAGCCUGUCCAACACCGCGGGCAGCGGUCGGACAGCCUGGUCGACGUCGGCGAGACGAACCGAAGUCGUUGGAAACGUGAUUCUACACGAUAAACUUCACCUGUGGAAAUCACCCAGAGGAUCCGUCCAUUAUCACCAAGGUCUGCAGGCAGGUGAUAACACCCUGAACGUGCUCUGUGCUCUCAGAGCAGCGAGGACGCUGGCGGCCAGCGGCUUCGACGACGUGUCGCAGCCGGAGGCUCGAGCCGCCGUGCUGACGGACUACGUUCAGUUCCUGACGACGCCCGGCACGCACCGCGACACCUACGCCGAGUCCAACCACCGCUCCUUCUUCUCCGACUGGCAGGAAGAGAAACCCACGACGGGCCGGGAGGUUCUCAUGUUUGCAGAGAGACGUUCCAAGCGCAUGUUGGGUUCUAAGUUCUCCGACAGCCAGCUGGACGCCAUCGGCUGCCUUUCCAUGAUCCUCCCCUUCGUCCUCCUGUCGGCGUCGGCCAAUGAGGAGCGAGCUGUGUCUGCGGCCGUAGAGUGGGUGAAGCUGACACACCCCCACCCGCGGGUGCCUGAGUACGUCUCCAUCUACAGCCGGGCGCUGCACGCCGUGCUGGGCGGUGCCGGCGUCCGGCAGCAGGCCGAACACGCUCUGAGGAAGCUGGGCACCUGGGACACCUGCCAGAGCUACAGCCGCAAGGCCGCCAGGUUGCCCGAAGCAUCAGAGCAGCGACUCCGAGUCCAUCAGAGCGCCGUGAACUACCUCGGCCUCGCCUGCUACACUAAAGGUCUGAUCAGGGUCCAUAUGGGUCCUCCAGGGGUUAGAUGGGGCUAUGUGGGUCACGAGCGGGCUUGAUUGGGCAAAUCUUUCAAGUCCCACAUGGUUUCAGUAACAUGGGCCCCAUUUAAGGUCCAUUCUGAUCCCACUUAGACCCCAUGUGGGCAAACAUAUGGGUCCUACAUGAGUCUCACCCAGUUGGGCUCCACCUGAAACCCAAUCAGAACCCACUUGAAGCCCAUAUGGGCAAACACAGGUGGGGUCACCAUGGAAACUGCACACAAACCCACUUGGGGCCCAUAUUACAGCCCAAAUUUAGGCCUUACGGACCCACAUGGACAUGCUGGCUUUUUUUGGCUUCUUCUUUUUACGAUGACGUUUACAAUGUUUACUAUGUUUUUUACGUUGAUUUGUACGAUGAUUUUUACAUUGAUGUUUACAAUGAUUUUUACGAUGAUGUUUACAAUGAUUUUUACGUGGUGAUGUUUACGUUGAUGUUUACGUUGAUGUUUACGAUGAUGUUUACGAUGACGUUUACGAUGAUGUUUACGAUGACGUUUACGAUGAUGUUUACGAUGACGUUUACAAUGAUGUUUACGAUGAUUUUUACGUGGUGAUGUUUGUGGCCCAACAGGAGCUCUCUCCAGUUUGUUCUACUUGGCUCACGAGUUUCAUGACGACGUGACAGCAGGAAUCCUGACGAACACUAACUGUGGAGGGGAGAACUGUAACCGCGGCGCUGCGCUCG